UACAGAGGGUGCAAGCGUUAAUCGGAAUUACUGGUCGUAAAGCGUGCGUAGUCGGUUAUUUAAGUCGGGCGUGAAAGCCCCGGGCUCAACCUGGGAAUUGCGUUCGAUACUGGAUAGCUAGAGUUCGGCAGAGGGAAGCGGAAUUUCUGGUGUAGCGGUGAAAUGCGUAGAUAUCAGAAGGAACAUCAGUGGCGAAAGCGGCUUCCUGGACCAGAACUGACGAUCAGGCACGAAAGCGUGGGGAGCAAACAGG
rnacentral:rRNA from 1 species